rnacentral:lncRNA from 1 species
CAGAACAUAACAAAAAAUAAGAAGAAAAAUCAAACUAAGAAAAUGUAGGUGGUCUUCAUGGAGGAUAGAUCCAACUGGAAGAGAAGUGUAGAAGCCCAUCGGAGCGCUUCUCCUUGCGCUUCGAUAUUCUUCGUCAUCAAUGAUUUACACCAUUAAAGCAUCUUAUUCCUCAAUGAAGACGUGUUAUUCAAUCAUAACCCACUUCUCAAUGUUCAUUUCCAUCUAGC